AGCAAAACUGCAGGACCCAGAAGGCCAAGUGAGUGAAUGAACCAGCCAGAGCCAUUCAUCUGGAGCUCACAAUUGAUGGAAACCUGGAUACAGACAAAUAUUUCUCUGCCCUCAGGAAAUCUGCAGUGUAAGAGGAUGAGAGGAUGAUAAAGGGCUCCUGGCUCUCAGCCUCAGUGUUGGAGGCCACUUGGGGGAUGCAUCCAACAGUAUGCAUGCAGAGAACCUGGGGGACCCUCAGCCAUCCCGAGAGAAGACCGCAGGAGAAAUAUGGAGCAACAGAGGAGGGAAGUAACUAUGCAUACCUCACAGGCACUCUAUACUGACCACUUUAUUCACAUACAUCAUUGAAAUAAAGGCUUGAGGUUAUAGUAAAAACUGUGAGAAACUAAUCCCAUAACACUAUUUUCUUCCCUGAGUCUGGUCAUUACCUAUGAUUCAUCCUUGUUUCACUUGCAGUCAAGGCUGAUAUGAAGGCAAGUCUACCAAUCAUGUCCUUGACCUUGAGAAGUAGAGAAUAGCCAUUCUAUCCUAUCAGCCCAAACCUCACAAAUAAGCAAUUAAUUAUUAUAAAAAGUUUAAAUUUUUAAUAAACAGCUGUAGACAGAACAAGCUCUCAACAUCCCACAAAGAAUAAUUACUAUGUUUCUGGAAACAAGCACUGGCUUGCCAGACAAGUUGGUAGGCAGCUUCCAUCCUAUAGCAAAUCUAUAUACUUAGUUUUAUUAUCUUUACAAAAUACAUUAACAAGGUAAUAGCAAUAUGGCUGCUGAAAAGAUGCAAUGCUUAGAUGAAGCCCUAAGGGAAUUUUAUGAAGUGAAACAAUCAGAUAAAAGUAAGCAGAGCCUUUUCCUUAAAAAAAAAAAAUCCAAUGAAGAUUUUUUAUUAAUUUCAGAUUUAAAAUUAUUAAAAAUGGGACUACAUGCACAAAAUAUAAUCUCAUUUAUGAAAAUGACAGCUCCAAAUCCUAUUUCAAACCCAAUUUUCAAUACAUGGAAGUUGUUCAUGAGCACCUGAGUCACACUAGGAUAUUCUUGUUAAAAUUACCACAGUCUGUGGAGAAAAUUAACUUUCUGAAGUACCCCAUAGGUGUAAAAAUUAUAGACUUUUUAAAAAUGAACAUUCAAUUUUCUAAAAUAUAUUCCUGGGUUUUGCUAAUACUGUGUAUUUAAAUAAAGCAUGCAUCACUGUAUUAAACAUAUAUAGAUUUAAACUGUAUAUAGUUUUUAAUAUAAUAUGGUAUGAUAAUUUUAUACCUGACCUUAUAUCCAUUUCUCCACAUAUGCAUCUUUCUCUCUGGCUAUUUAAAAUGAAAAGUCUCACGGUGUUUUAUUAAUGUUUCUCUAAGAAGAAAAAGGCAGAGGCAACUGCCUUCCCUCGCAAUCAACUGCUACCCAUUAUUUUCAACAAUUUUCAUCAUGAAAUUGCAUUUAUGAAAUGAACCAACCAAGGAGAGGUGGAUAUUAUGAGAAACCAAAAUGAAGAGGCAAAGAUAAAGUCAGAAUCCAGUGAUCAUUUCUAGGGGCAAAUGUAAGGUUAAGUUUGUUUUUGAAUAAUCAAACAUUCUUCUCAACCUUUUGUGUGUUGUUCUAUAGUAAAAAUGUGCCUUGGAAGACCUCCUUUCCUGGAAACCAACCAAAGAUUCAGGAAUAUAUGUCAGCUUCAUCUAACUGCCCUCGGAUUGGCAAAGGGGCAGCCAUCAAGCAGAGUGACAAGGAGUGUCCAUCUGGCAUUUGUAUUUGCCCCAUUUGCAAUUUCAUGGUUCUCUCUGUUGGCGUCUAUGUUGAGGAACUUCUAUUAAUGAUCAACAGGCUAUGUAUAAGUUGACCUCAGAUUGGUCCCUCGUAUCCUCCAAUGAAAGAAAAACAGGGCUGAAGAAGGUCCUGAGGAGAGUGUGGAAAGUGUGGUAGUGGUAAUUGUCUUUCCCUGUUCCUACCUAACAGAGGAAGGAGCUCCAGAAAGGAAGCAGGAGAGAGAAUGUCUUGGAAGGAACACAGGUCAAAUGUUAAAGGAACUGUGAGUGUUGAGCCUGGAAAAAGAGGAGAUGUGGAUCCCAUAAGCAUAGCACAGACAUUACCCCAGGUUUCUACACACCCCUGUGAGCUGAUGAUCAAGGACAGGGAUUAUUUUACAGAUGGGAAAACUGGCACUCAACAGCAGCAUAUGUGCCAAGGCCCCUUCACAAGGCAGUGGCACAGCCAGAAACAGGAUACAGGCCAGAUGGUACCUCUCUUUCCUGAAGACAUGGCAGCAUUUGGAUGACCUCCCAGCUCAAGUCCUUCCCCCACCAAUGCAAUCUGGACUCGGAUGUUAAAUCAUCAUCUUCCCCAAGCAUCAUCUGAGCAGGAGACUGUCCUCAGACACCAUGAGAACUUUUGAUUGCUUCUUUUUCUUAAAGCCCCCUUUGUGGAAUCUGAACCUCCUGAGACAUCCCUCAAUUCUUGCAAGCAACUAGGGACUUUCAAGACAUCAAGUGAAGGCAUCCUGAGCAAUGCAGGGGUGAAGCAAACAUCUGUGGCGCUGCAAGUGACAACGCAGAGUGAUUUUCGUGUUGCUUAAAACACACGGAAUGCCACACUGGUGGCACAGCAACUCACCAGGCCCAGGAGUGGAAAUGAUGUUGGAGGAACAGAGCAAACCCAAAGUAUGGAAUCUUCUCCUUGAUAAACUAAACUUGCAGACAGAGCAACUAAUUAGGUCCCAUGUGCCGGAUCCAGAGGGACAUUCAAAACAUUUUUUUUCUGGGUGACCUGAGGCUGGAGAAGAGAAAAAUGCAAUUGAAUAUAGACAACUGUGAAGUGUUGUCGAAGCAAAGGGAUCCAUGGAAUGAGUCCACGGGCUGGAUCAGUGUCCUUUCAAAGAAAGAGCUGAAGAAACAGAAAUCAGAGUGUUCGGUUAUCAAUUAAUGGCUCACACACAGCUUUACCAUUCAUUCAACAAAACAGCAGUCUCUGGAGGAAUGAGUGAGGUGAGGAUGUCAUCUCUUAUCACCUCCACAGACCUGCAUUUCCCCAGCAGGGCCCACGCCCUUCUUCCAGGACAGCACAGGCUCACUCAGACCCUUGGAUGGACACACCACUGCCCCGGGUGGACCUAUUUGAGCACCUGAAUUCCUUUUCUUUGCGAAUCUUCUCUGAUGGAAACACUGAGUGAGGUUGUCUACUUCUCCCAGGUCCAAGAAUCAGCUAGGGAAGCUCUGCAGGAUGGGGACAUUUCUUUUCAGAUGCAUGCCUUAUGGAGAGUCCACGAGAGAGUUAUGAAUGCUACCAUCAUUUUUAAAGAGCCAUCACAAUGGACUAUGGGACUGGAUAAUGGAUACGUAUGUCCUGCUAGGAGUGCCACUUACGAACAGUGUGGCAGGAACUGAAAUUCUGCAUGCGGACUGCCUCUACGACUGUUUGUGUAUGGAAUGUGUCUGUGUUCCAACAUUGCCAGUUUGCCUUAAAUCAUCAUUUCCUAGGUGCCUCUCAAAAAGGCUUAUCUGCUCUUGCCCAAUACCCAAUGGGCAUGCAAGUAAAUGUAACACAUUUAUACUCCCAGAAUUUGCAGCUGGAGGAAGCUCUAGCAAUAUCCUUGUAACCCAAUUCUUAUUCAAUAACAUUGUUUUUCUCUCAAAUUAUGAAAUUGACAUGUGCUCAUUUUCAGAAGUAUGAAAAACAGUAUGAAAAUGAAAUAAACCUAUAAUUCAA